rnacentral:rRNA from 1 species
UUGAUCCUGGCUCAGGACGAACGCUGGCGGCGUGCCUAAUACAUGCAAGUCGAGCGGACAGAUGGGAGCUUGCUCCCUGAUGUUAGCGGCGGACGGGUGAGUAACACGUGGGUAACCUGCCUGUAAGACUGGGAUAACUCCGGGAAACCGGGGCUAAUACCGGAUGCUUGUUUGAACCGCAUGGUUCAAACAUAAAAGGUGGCUUCGGCUACCACUUACAGAUGGACCCGCGGCGCAUUAGCUAGUUGGUGAGGUAAUGGCUCAAAAGGCCAAGGCAACGAUGCGUAGCCGACCUGAGAGGGUGAUCGGCCACACUGGGACUGAGACACGGCCCAGACUCCUACGGGAGGCAGCAGUAGGGAAUCUUCCGCAAUGGACGAAAGUCUGACGGAGCAACGCCGCGUGAGUGAUGAAGGUUUUCGGAUCGUAAAGCUCUGUUGUUAGGGAAGAACAAGUGCCGUUCAAAUAGGGCGGCACCUUGACGGUACCUAACCAAGCCACGGCUAACUACGUGCCAGCAGCCGCGGUAAUACGUAGGUGGCAAGCGUUGUCCGGAAUUAUUGGGCGUGCUCGCAGGCGGUUUCUUAAGUCUGAUGUGAAAGCCCCCGGCUCAACCGGGGAGGGUCAUUGGAAACUGGGGAACUUGAGUGCAGAAGAGGAGAGUGGAAUUCCACGUGUAGGUCUUGACAGCGGUGAAAUGCGUAGAGAUGUGGACCAGUGGCGAAGGCGACUCUCUGGUCUGUAACUGACGCUGAGGAGCGAAAGCGUGGGGAGCGAAUGGACAGGAUUAGAUACCCUGGCACGCCGUAAACGAUGAGUGCUAAGUGUUAGGGGGUUUCCGCCUGCAGCUAACGCAUUAAGCACUCCGCCUGGGGAGUACGGUCGCAAGACUGAAACUCAAAGGAAUUGACGGGGGCCCGCACAGGAACAAGCGGUGGAGCAUGUGGUUUAAUUCGAAGCAACGCGAAGAACCUUACCAUCCUCUGACAAUCCUAGAGAUAGGACGUCCCCUUCGGGGGCAGAGUGACAGGUGGUGCAUGGUUGUCGUCAGCUCGUGUCGUGAGAUGUUGGGUUAAGUCCCGCAACGAGCGCAACCCUUGAUCUUAGUUGCCAGCAUUCAGUUGGGCACUCUAAGGUGACUGCCGGUGACAAACCGGAGGAAGGUGGGGAUGACGUCAAAUCAUCAUGCCCCUUAUGACCUGGGCUACACACGUGCUACAAUGGACAGAACAAAGGGCAGCGAAACCG